AGAGCGAACGCUGGCGGCAGGCUUAACACAUGCAAGUCGAGCGCCCCGCAAGGGGAGCGGCAGACGGGAGAGUAACACGUGGGAACGUACCUUUCGGUUCGGAACAACCCAGGGAAACUUGGGCUAAUACCGGAUAAGCCCUUACGGGGAAAGAUUUAUCGCCGAAAGAUCGGCCCGCGUCUGAUUAGCUAGUUGGUGAGGUAAUGGCUCACCAAGGCGACGAUCAGUAGCUGGUCUGAGAGGAUGAUCAGCCACAUUGGGACUGAGACACGGCCCAAACUCCUACGGGAGGCAGCAGUGGGGAAUAUUGGACAAUGGGCGCAAGCCUGAUCCAGCCAUGCCGCGUGAGUGAUGAAGGCCCUAGGGUUGUAAAGCUCUUUUGUGCGGGAAGAUAAUGACGGUACCGCAAGAAUAAGCCCGGCUAACUUCGCGCCAGCAGCCGC
rnacentral:rRNA from 1 species